GAAAUCUGUACCUACACCUAAACAACUAUUGGACUGGCAGAAACUCUCAAUGAAUCUGGAGCUCUGGAGUCUUGCAGCAUCCAAGGGAUAACUUAAUGAAGAGCAAGGGGAUAUGACCAUUAUGAACAUAUACUACCCACAGCACCAAAAUAUAUGAAGGAACAAUUGAUAGAAUUGAAAUGAGAAAUAGAUAGUUCUAUAAUAAUAUUUGAAGACUUCAUGAUUCCACUUUCAGUAAUGGCUAGAACAACCAGACAAAGGAACAAUGAAGACAUACAGGUCUUAAACAGUACUGCAAACCAAUUCGACCUAAAAGACCUGCAGAGAACGCCUCCUAACAAUAGCAGAGUAUGUGUUCUUCUCAAGUGUGUGUGGAACAUUUUUCUGGAUAGCUCAUGUGAUAGGCCACAAAACAAGUUAGUAAGUUUGAAAAGAUCGAAAUCAUGCAAAGUUCCUUUUGUAAACACAAUGGAACGAAACUAGAAAUCAACAACAGAAGGAAAAUGGGAAAAUUCACAAAUACAUAGAAAUUAAACGGCCCACUGUUAAACAUUCAGUGAGCAAAAAAGAAAUCACAGGGGGAAAUUAGAAUUGAAACAAAUGAAAAGAAAACAUGCAAAACAUAAGUGUUUUGUAACAUACCAAAACCUAUGGCAUGCAGCAGAAGCAAUGCUGAGUGGGAAAUUUAUAACUGUAAAUGCAUACCUUAAA